UUAAACGACGAUGGAAAACGUGAGCAAAAACGUAUCGGUGUGCACGGGCCUUAAGACUGGUUACUCACUAAAGCACAGAGUAGCCUGGUUAGUACAUGGAUGGGAAACCAAAUGGGAAAACUUGGUAGCUGUUAAAA
rnacentral:rRNA from 1 species